GACGAACGCUGGCGGCGUGCUUAACACAUGCAAGUCGAACGGAAAGGCCCUGCUUUUGUGGGGUGCUCGAGUGGCGAACGGGUGAGUAACACGUGAGUAACCUGCCCUUGACUUUGGGAUAACUUCAGGAAACUGGGGCUAAUACCGGAUAGGAGCUCCUGCUGCAUGGUGGGGGUUGGAAAGUUUCGGCGGUUGGGGAUGGACUCGCGGCUUAUCAACUUGUUGGUGGGGUAGUGGCUUACCAAGGCUUUGACGGGUAGCCGGCCUGAGAGGGUGACCGGCCACAUUGGGACUGAGAUACGGCCCAGACUCCUACGGGAGGCAGCAGUGGGGAAUAUUGCACAAUGGGCGGAAGCCUGAUGCAGCAACGCCGCGUGCGGGAUGACGGCCUUCGGGUUGUAAACCGCUUUCGCCUGUGACGAAGCGUGAGUGACGGUAAUGGGUAAAGAAGCACCGGCUAACUACGU
rnacentral:rRNA from 1 species